rnacentral:rRNA from 1 species
AUUGAACGCUGGCGGCAGGCCUAACACAUGCAAGUCGAGCGGAUGAAGGGAGCUUGCUCCUGGAUUCAGCGGCGGACGGGUGAGUAAUGCCUAGGAAUCUGCCUGGUAGUGGGGGAUAACGUCCGGAAACGGGCGCUAAUACCGCAUACGUCCUGAGGGAGAAAGUGGGGGAUCUUCGGACCUCACGCUAUCAGAUGAGCCUAGGUCGGAUUAGCUAGUUGGUGGGGUAAAGGCCUACCAAGGCGACGAUCCGUAACUGGUCUGAGAGGAUGAUCAGUCACACUGGAACUGAGACACGGUCCAGACUCCGACGGGAGGCAGCAGUGGGGAAUAUGGGACAAUGGGCGAAAGCCUGAUCCAGCCAUGCAGCGUGUGUGAAGAAGGUCUUCGGAUUGUAAAGCACUUUAAGUUGGGAGGAAGGGCAGUAAGUUAAUACCUUGCUGUUUGGACGUUACCAACAGAAUAAGCACGGGCUAACUUCGU